UACGUAGGGGGCAAGCGUUGUCCGGAUUCAUUGGGCGUAAAGGGUGUGUAGGUGGCGCGCUAAGUCGGGUGUGAAAUUUCGGAGCUUAACUCCGAAACUGCAUUCGAUACUGGCGUGCUUGAGGACUGGAGAGGAGACUGGAAUUUACGGUGUAGCAGUGAAAUGCGUAGAUAUCGUAAGGAAGACCAGUGGCGAAGGCGGGUCUCUGGACAGUUCCUGACACUGAGACACGAAGGCCAGGGGAGCAAACGGG
rnacentral:rRNA from 1 species